UGUGUGUGUGUGUGUGUGUGUGUGUGUGUGUGUGUGUGUGUGCGCGCGCGUGUGCCAUUGUACACACAUACACUCAAGCACA
rnacentral:miRNA from 1 species